UCAGGUGGGAUUACCCGCUGAACUUAAGCAUAUCAAUAAGCGGAGGAAAAGAAACUAACAAGGAUUCCCCUAGUAACGGCGAGUGAAGAGGGAAAAGCCCAAAUUUGUAAUCUGGCUCUUUUAGAGUCCGAGUUGUAAUUUUGAGAACUGUUUUCAGUGCUGGACCAUGUUUAAGUCUGUUGAAAAACAGCAUCAUUGAGGGUGAUAAUCCCGUUCAUGAUAUGGACUACCAGUACUUUAUGAUACAGUCUCUAAGAGUCGAGUUGUUUGGGAAUGCAGCUCAAAGUGGGUGGUAAAUUCCAUCUAAGGCUAAAUAUAGGUGAGAGACCGAUAGCAAACAAGUACCGUGAGGGAAAGAUGAAAAGAACUUUGGAAAGAGAGUUAACAGUACGUGAAAUUGCUGAAAGGGAAACAAUUGAAGUUAGCCUUGUUAUUGUCAGUUCAGCUCUUUUAGAGUGUAUUCUGAUGAUUAACGACCAACAUCAGUCUUUGAGUGCUGGAUAAGGGUUUUGGAAAUGUAGCAGUCUCGGCUGUGUUAUAGUCCAUUACUUUGAUACAGUGCUUGGGAUUGAGGAUCGCAGUAAGCCAUUUUAUGGUGGACCAAAUUUUUGGUCUUCUUACUGAGGAUGUUGGUGAA
rnacentral:rRNA from 1 species